rfam:Porphyromonas macacae strain COT-192_OH2859 contig_2, whole genome shotgun sequence.
AACGGUGGUUAUAACGUCGGGGUUCCACCUCUAUCCAUUCCGAACAGAGCAGUUAAGCCCGAUCGUGCCGAUGGUACUGCGUAACAGUGGGAGAGUAGGUAGCCAACAAAA